GCUCAGUAACACGUGGAUAACCUACCCUUAGGACUGGGAUAACCUUGGGAAACUGAGGAUAAUACCGGAUAGGCAAUUAUUCCUGUAAUGGUUUUUUGUUUAAAUGUUUUUUCGCCUAAGGAUGGGUCUGCGGCCGAUUAGGUAGUUGGUUAGGUAAUGGCUUACCAAGCCGUUGAUCGGUACGGGUUGUGAGAGCAAGAGCCCGGAGAUGGAACCUGAGACAAGGUUCCAGGCCCUACGGGGUGCAGCAGGCGCGAAACCUCCGCAAUGUGAGAAAUCGCGACGGGGGGAUCCCAAGUGCCAUUCUUAACGGGAUGGCUUUUCAUUAGUGUAAAGAGCUUUUGGAAUAAGAGCUGGGCAAGACCGGUGCCGGCCGCCGCGGUAACACCGGCAGCUCUAGUGGUAGCAAUUUUUAUUGGGCCUAAAGCGUCCGUAGCCGGUUUAAUAAGUCUCUGGUGAAAUCCUGUAGCUUAACUGUGGGAAUUGCUGGAGAUACUAUUAGACUUGAGAUCGGGAGAGGUUAGAGGUACUCCCAGGGUAGAGGUGAAAUUCUGUAAUCCUGGGAGGACCGCCUGUUGCGAAGGCGUCUAACUGGAACGAUUCUGACGGUGAGGGACGAAAGUUAGGGGCGCGAACCGGAUUAGAUACCCGGGUAGUCCUAACUGUAAACGAUGCGGACUUGGUGUUGGGGUGGCUUUGAGCUGCUCCAGUGCCGAAGGGAAGCUGUUAAGUCCGCCGCCUGGGAAGUACGGUCGCAAGACUGAAACUUAAAGGAAUUGGCGGGGGAGCAC
rnacentral:rRNA from 1 species